AACUCAACUCAACAUCUUCGGAAGAAAGAGAAGCUGCACAAGAGUAUUCUUGCCCUCGAAUCACGCCACGUGUGAAAAAGGAGGUGCAAACUUUUUGAGAUGUUCUGGCAGUUUUAUUUAGGACUAGUAAAUAGCCAUCUUCCUCUGGAAUCCAUAGCUUAAAAAAAAAAAAGAAGGACUUGUUUUUAGAUCAUUUGUACAAUUAUUCUUCUUCUAAGAUGGUGGCGGUGGCCGGUGCAUAUAACUUUUUGCAAAGUAAAGAUAUAAAGAAAAAUAUAAUAGCAUCUAAUAGUGACUGUGAAGUAACAUGCCAACGUCCAAUUAGUGUGAAAUGAAAUGAAAUGCUAUUUCUGGAUCUUUCUUCUUAAUUCUCUCCACCAAUUAUAUACUCUCCCUGCCUUCUAUUGUGUGUAUAUAAAUAUACGUCAAACCCUUGUAUUCCAACCCAAAUACAAGUUCUGUCUUCCAAGAAAUAUUUUUUGGGUCUAUCUGGUUUUUGCAAAGGGUGUUCUUGUUGAGAUGAGUGAGAUCAAAUAUGGCUAUCCAUACCCAGCUCAAGGUACUUAUCAGGGGCCGCCUCCGGUGGCGGCACCUCCACAGUACUAUGCUGCUCCACCGCCUAGAAGAGAACCGGGUUUCCUUGAGGGAUGCCUAGCGGCUUUGUGUUGCUGCUGCCUCUUGGACGAGUGCUGCUGUGAUCCA